rnacentral:rRNA from 1 species
UACGUAGGGUGCAAGCGUUAUCCGGAUUUACUGGGUGUAAAGGGCGAGUAGACGGCGAUGCAAGUCAGAUGUGAAAUGCUAGAGCUUAACUUUAGAACUGCAUCUGAAACUGUAUUGCUAGAGUGCAGGAGAGGUAAGCGGAAUUCCUAGUGUAGCGGUGAAAUGUGUAGAUAUUAGGAGGAACAUCAGUGGCGAAGGCGGCUUACUGGACUGUAACUGACGUUGAGGCGCGAAAGCGUGGGGAGCAAACAGG